UAGGGAAUCUUCCGCAAUGGGCGAAAGCCUGACGGAGCAACGCCGCGUGAGUGAUGAAGGUCUUCGGAUCGUAAAACUCUGUUAUUAGGGAAGAACAAAUGUGUAAGUAACUAUGCACGUCUUGACGGUACCUAAUCAGAAAGCCACGGCUAACUACGUGCCAGCAGCCGCGGUAAUACGUAGGUGGCAAGCGUUAUCCGGAAUUAUUGGGCGUAAAGCGCGCGUAGGCGGUUUUUUAAGUCUGAUGUGAAAGCCCACGGCUCAACCGAGGAGGGUCAUUGGAAACUGGAAAACUUGAGUGCAGAAGAGGAAAGUGGAAUUCCAUGUGUAGCAGUGAAAUGCGCAGAGAUAUGGAGGAACACCAGUGGCGAAGGCGACUUUCUGGUCUGUAACUGACGCUGAUGUGCGAAAGCGUGGGGAUCAAACAGG
rnacentral:rRNA from 1 species